UGCCCCCCUCAUUUCCUGGUUUCUAGGAAAUGGCAGGCAGAGCCGAGCGAGAACUACCUUCUCAUCUCAGACUCCACCCAUACUGCGAAGUCUUCUAGAAGUAUUUGAGAUGGACCUAGAGGUGCGUUGGCUUCAUAGAGGAGGAUCUGAAUCACUUUGCCUGGGGUGUCAAGGAGGGCUCCAUGGUGAGUAUGGGCCUUGAGGAAGAAUAGAUGCCUGCCAGGUAGAAGGAAGAGCUUUGUUGGGCUGGCUUUGACGUCAGAUGGAAUCUACAUGCGUUUGAGCUUCACCAGCUACCAGCUACAGGUCCUUGGAACAGCUCACACCUGGUCAGUCGGACUCCUCAGCUACGUGCCAGGCGGAAGGUUUGUCACUGGGUGGACAAGAAAACUUGGCUUCUUGCUGCUGAAUCCGACCCGACCUUCCACAAGACCAGACGCCCCUUUGGACCUCAGUUCCCCCAUCUAUAAAUUGAGGACGUGGCACUCUCUGUCUGCCAGCUCCAAAA